AGAGUUUGAUCCUGGCUCAGAUUGAGCGCUGGCGGCAUGCUUAACACAUGCAAGUCGAACGGUAACAGGCCCUUCGGGGUGCUGACGAGUGGCGGACGGGUGAGUAAUGCUUAGGAAUCUGCCUAGUAGUGGGGGAUAACCCGGGGAAACCCGGGCUAAUACCGCAUACGCCCCACGGGGGAAAGCGGGGGACUUUCGGGCCUCGCGCUAUUAGAUGAGCCUAAGUCCGAUUAGCUAGUUGGUAGGGUAAUGGCCUACCAAGGCGACGAUCGGUAGCUGGUCUGAGAGGACGACCAGCCACACUGGGACUGAGACACGGCCCAGACUCCUACGGGAGGCAGCAGUGGGGAAUAUUGGACAAUGGGGGAAACCCUGAUCCAGCGACGCCGCGUGUGUGAAGAAGGCCUGCGGGUUGUAAAGCACUUUUAGUGGGGAUGAAAAGCUCUGGGAUAACACCCCGGGGUCUUGACCUAACCCACAGAAAAAGCACCGGCUAACUCUGUGCCAGCAGCCGCGGUAAUACAGAGGGUGCGAGCGUUAAUCGGAAUUACUGGGCGUAAAGCGUGUGUAGGUGGCUCCCUAAGUCGGUUGUGAAAUCCCUGGGCUCAACCUGGGAAUUGCAUGGAUACUGGGCGACUAAGUGUGGUAAGGACAGUGGAAUUCCGGUGUANCANUGAAAUGCNUAAAAUCNGAAGGAACNUCUGUGGCNAAGCACUGUCUGGCCAACACUGACACUGAGGCACGAAAGCGUGGGAGCAAACAGGAUUAGAUACCCUGGUAGUCCACGCCNUAAACGAUGCGAACUGGAUGUUGGGCACAACUUGGUGCCCAGUAUNGAAGCUAACGCGUUAAGUUCGCCGCCUGGGGAGUACGGUCGCAAGACUGAAACUCAAAGGAAUUGACGGGGGCUCACACAAGCGGUGGAGCAUGUGGCUCAAUUCGAAGCAACGCGAAGAACCUUAUCCAAGGCUUGACAUGCACGGAUUAGGUCCCUGAAAGGGGACUGACAUCGCAAGAUGGAACGUGCACAGGUGCUGCAUGGCUGUCGUCAGCUCGUGCUGUGAAGUGUCGGGUUAAGUCCUCUAACGAGCGAAACCCCUGCCUCUAGUUGCUACCGUCCUUCGGGGCGCGCACUCUAGCGGGACUGCCGGUGUCAAACCGGAGGAAGGUGGGGACGACGUCAAGUCCUCAUGGCCUUUAUGCCUUGGGCUGCACACGUGCUACAAUGGCGUUUACAAACCGACCCGAUACCGCAAGGUGGAGGAAAUCGGAAAAAAAACGCCCCAGUUCAGAUCGGGGUCUGCAACUCGACCCCGUGAAGCCGGAAUCGCUAGUAAUCGCGGAUCAGCUACGCCGCGGUGAAUAUGUUCCUGAGCCUUGUACACACCGCCCGUCAAGUCAUGGGAGCCGGGAAUACCCGAAGCCGUGCUAUUUCAAGCAUGCCUACGGUAGGCUCGGUGACUGGGACUAAGUCGUAACAAGGUAACCGUA
rnacentral:rRNA from 1 species